GGGAGUAUAGUUAAAAAUAACAUUUAAUUUGCAAUUAAAAAGAACUAAAUAAUUAGUUAUUCUCA
rnacentral:tRNA from 1 species